AUUGAACGCUGGCGGCAGGCCUAACACAUGCAAGUCGAGCGAGCGGCGGACGGGUGAGCAAUGUCUGGGAAACUGCCUGGUGGAUGGGGUUAACUACUGGGAACUGUAGCUAAUACCGCACACUAUCGGAUGAAGCCAUAUGGGAUUAGCUAGUGGGUGGGGUAAUGGCUAACCUAGGCGACGAUCCCUAGCUGGUCUGAGAGGAUGAUCAGCCACACUGGGACUGAGACACGGCCCAGACUCCUACGGGAGGCAGCAGUGGGGAAUAUUGCACAAUGGGCGAAAGCCUGAUGCAGCCAUGCCGCGUGUAUGAAGAAGGCCCUAGGGUUGUAAAGUACUUUAAGUCGGGAGGCGUUACCGACAGAAGAAGCACCGGCUAACUCCGUGCCAGCAGCCGCGGUAAUAC
rnacentral:rRNA from 1 species